AGAGUUUGAUCAUGGCUCAGGACGAACGCUGGCGGCGUGCCUAAUACAUGCAAGUCGAGCGAACAGAGAAGAAGCUUGCUCCUUUGACGUUAGCGGCGGACGGGUGAGUAACACGUGGGCAACCUACCUUAUAGUUUGGGAUAACUCCGGGAAACCGGGGCUAAUACCGAAUAAUCUGUUUCACCUCAGUGGUGAAACAAUGAAAGACGGUUUCGGCUGUCGCUAUAAGAUGGGCCCGCGGCGCAUUAGCUAGUUGGUGAGGUAACGGCUCACCAAGGGACGAUGCGUAGCCGACCUGAGAGGGUGAUCGGCCACACUGGGACUGAGACACGGCCCAGACUCCUACGGGAGGCAGCAGUAGGGAAUCUUCCACAAUGGGCGAAAGCCUGAUGGAGCAACGCCGCGUGAGUGAAGAAGGAUUUCGGUUCGUAAAACUCUGUUGUAAGGGAAGAACAAGUACAGUAGUAACUGGCUGUACCUUGACGGUACCUUAUUAGAAAGCCACGGCUAACUACGUGCCAGCAGCCGCGGUAAUACGUAGGUGGC
rnacentral:rRNA from 1 species